rnacentral:misc_RNA from 1 species
GAUGAAGAACGUAGCGAAAUGCGAUACUUGGUGUGAAUUGCAGAAUCCCGUGAACCAUCGAGUCUUUGAACGCAAGUUGCGCCCGAAGCCAUCAGGUUGAGGGCACGUCUGCCUGGGCGUCACAUAUCGUUGCUCGAUGCCUAUCGCAUUGCGAUAGGACUUAGGGCGAAUGAUGGCUUCCCGUGAGCGUUGUUGCCUCGCGGUUGGUUGAAAAUCGAGUGCAUGGUGUCGGGUGUACCAUGAUGGAUGGUGGUUGAGUGAUGAUGCUCGAGACCAAUCAUGGGUAACUCCACCAGAAUUGGGCUCGGUGACCCACAUGCGUCCCUUGGAUGCCCCCUAAGGAGACCUCAGGUCAGGCGGGGCUACCCGCUGAGUUUAAGCAUAUCAAUAAGCGGAGGA